GUGUCAGCAGCCGCGGUAAUACGAAGGGGGCUAGCGUUGCUCGGAUUUACUGGGCGUAAAGGGCGCGUAGGCGGACGAUUUAGUCAGAGGUGAAAGCCCGGGGCUCAACCCCGGAAUUGCCUUUGAUACUGGUCGUCUUGAGUUUGGGAGAGGUGUGUGGAACUCCGAGUGUAGAGGUGAAAUUCGUAGAUAUUCGGAAGAACACCAGUGGCGAAGGCGACACACUGGCCCAAUACUGACGCUGAGGCGCGAAAGCGUGGGGAGCAAACAGGAUUAGAUACCCUGGUAGUCCACGCCGUAAACGAUGAUUGCUAGUUGUCGGCAUGCAUGCAUGUCGGUGACGCAGCUAACGCAUUAAGCAAUCCGCCUGGGGAGUACGGUCGCAAGAUUAAA
rnacentral:rRNA from 1 species